rnacentral:lncRNA from 1 species
CAUGUGGAUGUCCAUUUCUUCUAGCAUCAUUUGUCGAAAAGAUUAUCCUUUCCCCAUUUUAUUCUUCUUCCUCUUUUGUCAAAGAGCAGUUGACUCUAUUUUGUGGCAUAAUAUUUUAUAAAAUGGAUAUAGGAUGAUUUCCUUAGCAGUUCCCUCAUUGAAGGGUAACUAGGCUAUUUUCAGUUGUAUUCCAUUUCUCCUGGUUUCCCACCCUAUCUCUCUAGCUUCAUGUGCCCCUGUCUUAUAAAUUUUAUAAUUCCUCAGGGCUUUCCAUAGCCCAUCUCUCUUCUUUUCUUUCCAUUAGUGACCUCUCAUCUAAUUCCAUGACUUUAAGAAAUACCUAUACAUAUGAUAACUCCUUGAAAAUUUACGUCUAUCUAAACCUCUUCUGUCAGCUUCAGUUUUAUAUAGUCAUCUCUCUUAUUGAUUAUUUGUUUUGGCUAUAUGAGUUAUAUCGAACUUAACAUGUUUGAAGUUGUACUGCUGAAAGAUACUCUUCCCUCAGCCUUCCUCAGAUCAGCAAAUGGUCCCACCACCCAUUCAAAGCCCCAUGUAGAAACUUGGUAAUCAAUUUGAUUGUGCUGUUUCCAAAAUUUCCUUUAUGUUUCCCAAUAUAAUGCAUUAAUAGAUUAUAGCUGCAUGAUAUAUUUCAUAUUUGCCCCAUCUUUCUAUUACCACUGCCACCAUCCAAGUUGAUGCCACUAUCAACUCUUGAUUAGACCAUUGCAAUGUACUCCUCAUUGAUCUUUUUACUUUUUGUCUUAAUCUCUUCACAUACAUUUUAUAUAUCUGCCAGAGAAACCUUUUGAAAACAUCAAUUCAUUGCCCUCUUUAAACCCUUCAGGGAUUUUACUUAGAAUAAAAUGCAGAUUCUUUACCAUAGCCUCUGGAGCUUUGCAUGAUUUGGCCUCCUGUUAAAUUCCCAACAUUCCCACCAUUGUGCAUAUGGUGCACUGCAUAACCCCAAGGGGAAGUCAUCACAUUGUAAUUUAUGUGAAUAGUGUUCCCUGGAGAUGUUCAAUGAAC